rnacentral:rRNA from 1 species
GGGAUUGCUCAGUAACGGCGAGUGAAGCGGCAACAGCUCAAAUUUGAAAUCUGGCCCUUCGGGGUCCGAGUUGUAAUUUGUAGAGAGUGCUUCGGGGGAGACCGCGGUCUAAGUCCAUUGGAACAUGGCGUCCCAGAGGGUGAGAAUCCCGUAUGUGACCGCGGCUCGAGCCCAUGUGAAGCCUCUUCGACGAGUCGAGUUGUUUGGGAAUGCAGCUCUAAAUGGGUGGUAAAUUUCAUCUAAAGCUAAAUACUGGCUGGAGACCGAUAGCGCACAAGUAGAGUGAUCGAAAGAUGAAAAGCACUUUGGAAAGAGAGUUAAACAGUACGUGAAAUUGUUGAAAGGGAAGCGCUUGCAACCAGACCUGCCCGUAGGCGAUCAACCGCUGUUCUCAGCGGUGCACUCGUUCUGCGAUCAGGCCAGCAUCGGUUCGGGCGGUUGGAUAAAGGCCUUGGGAAUGUAGCUUCCCUUCGGGGGAGUCUUAUAGCCCUCGGUGCAAUGCGGCCAGCCGGGACCGAGGACCGCGCUUCGGCUAGGAUGCUGGCGUAAUGGCUGUAAGCGACCCGUCUUGAAACACGGACCAAGGAGUCUACCAUCUAUGCGAGUGUUUGGGUGUCAAACCCAUGCGCGAAAUGAAAGUGAACGGAGGUGAGAACCCUUAAGGGCGCAUCAUCGACCGAUCCAGAUGUCUUCGGAUGGAUUUGAGUAUGAGCAUGGCUGGUGGGACCCGAAAGAUGAUGAACUAUACUUGAAUAGGGUGAAGCCAGAGGAAACUCUGGUGGAGGCUCGCAGCGGUUCUGACGUGCAAAUCGAUCGUCGAAUUUGGGUAUAGGGCGAAAGACUAAUC